rnacentral:rRNA from 1 species
GACGAACGCUGGCGGCGUGCUUAACACAUGCAAGUCGAACGGAAAGGCCCUGCUUUUGUGGGGUGCUCGAGUGGCGAACGGGUGAGUAACACGUGAGUAACCUGCCCUUGACUUUGGGAUAACUUCAGGAAACUGGGGCUAAUACCGGAUAGGAGCUCCUGCUGCAUGGGGGGGGUUGGAAAGUUUCGGCGGUUGGGGAUGGACUCGCGGCUUAUCAGCUUGUGGGUGGGGUAGUGGCUUACCAAGGCUUUGACGGGUAGCCGGCCUGUGAGGGUGACCGGCCCCAUUGGGCCUGAGCUACGGCCCAGCCUCCUCCGGGAGGCAGCGGUGGGGUAUAUUGCACAAUGGGCGGAAGCCUGAUGCAGCAACGCCGCGUGCGGGAUGACGGCCUUCGGGUUGUAAACCGCUUUCGCCUGUGACGAAGCGUGAGUGACGGUAAUGGGUAAAGAAGCACCGGCUAACUACGUG